rnacentral:lncRNA from 12 species
CAAUUACAAGUUUUCAAAUUCGCUGGAUAAGCAGUUGGAAUGAGUGAGUUGUCACAUACCAACACAGUCCACAGUCUGGUCAGUGGGGUAAGCUACACUUGAAAGUCAGCUCUUCAUCUCAUCACUGUGAACUCACUUUCUGCACAUACUGACAUGUGACAAGACUCCAAGCUCACAUCUCUAAAAUCAGCUUCCAAAUUUCUUCAAAGGUUGAGCCAUUUAGUGGAUUGAAUAAGCCCUGCCCAUGAAGCAUGAAGUGAAAAUUACAAUAUGCAGAUAUAGUGAACUACCUAACAAGCCUGAAAGAGGACUACUGCAUGAGUUCCUGCGUGAUGCAUUGGCAACAAUGCUGGAGUUCUUCAUUCUUUCUUCAUCUGCACAAGAAAGGCAGUCCUUUAGGUUCUUGAUCCUCAGGAAACCUUUUUCUGAUGACCUUUCUAGUUCUCCUAGUUGGAAGUUCCUAUAAUUGGGGAAAUAUGCAAUAUAUCUGAGAGAAUUUUGAUGGAAAAAGCAGGGCUCCAGCUCUUAAUGGCCAAAACAGUGAUACUAAUGCCAAUAAGAACAAGCUAUAAGUUUUCUUGAGUGUGUAUAUACAAACUUUUUCUGGUCCUGAUCACAUGGUAAGGACAGGCCUCAGAGGAAACCUGUUCUUUGUGUGGUAGUGAGAUGUGAAUGUACCUUCACACUACUAAAAGUAAGAAACAAGAGAAUAUUCAGCUUCACUGUUUGUUUUUUUCCCCCAUGUAAAUUUAAAAGGCACAAGACAACC